CUGCCAAACACAUAAUACAGUGGAAGAGGGGAGUAGAGUAGGCAGGCAGCUAGGUUAGUUUUAGUUACUAAUUCUGUUUAGUUAAGUCUAACUCCAGAAAUUGUAACAGUUGUGAAGAAAUUCCAGAAAAGGUUUUUCUUUUCGUUCAUCUUCUUCUUCAUUUUGUUCAUCAUCCUGUUCGUUUCUCUCUGAUCGGAUACUCGCAGACACAGGCGCCAGAGGCAUAAUCGGAAGCAUUAAGGUAAGCAGAAAUACUUACUGAGGAAAAAAAACAAAAGGAGGCUUCUACAUGCCGUAAUGGAAUGGAACUACAUUGAUUCAUUACUGCUUAUGUUUGUAACUCUAGUCAUUCUCUUCUUCCAUCUCAUCCCAGCCAUUUUGUGCUUUAUGCGUACCUUGGGGGUUCAAAUAUGCAAUGAGGUACAUAUUCGAAUUCUUGAACUGCAUCUGCAUGGUGGAGGUGG